GGAGGGGUACCCAAGUGGCUUAAGGGGACGGUUUGCUAAACCGUUAGUGUUCGAAAGGGCAGCGAGGGUUCGAAUCCCUCCUCCUCCGCCA
rnacentral:tRNA from 1 species